UAAUGUUCAAAAGUGUGUGUUAGAGUGAGAAUUUGAUGUUGUCAUAGAAGGGAAAAAUGUUCAGCAUGUCAUAAAACAUAAGAAUAAUAGAUGAAGUUUAAUUUCUGAGCUUAGGGAUGAAAAUGUAAAUAUGCAAAAGUUUGGGGGCAAAAUUGUAAUUUUUCAAAAAGUUGAGUGGAUGAUUAUUUUAAUAAAUGUGAACAUUAAAUGAGUUAAAUUUGUUAUUAUAGAUCAAGAAAGAUGAGAAGAAUACCUCAAACGGGGAAAAGAGAAAGUAGUGGAGUAAAUUGCAAAAUCACGAUAUUUUGCACCGAGUGGCAUGGAACUUGGGCGAAGUCAGAUAAUCAUCUACACUAUCAUCAACGCUUGGGUAUUUUGCAACUCAUAUUUUGGAAACAUGGCAUGUAUAGACGACUUUAUGUAUUAUGGCGUAAACAAAUAUAUAGUAUGUUUCGGUUUAAAAUGUUGAUGUUUAUUAUUAGACAAAUUGAGUAUGAUCAUACAACUGUUUUUGGUUG